CGGUUUUAGGGGAAGGGCGGGAACGUGCGUCAGACGUCACAGACGCGCUGUCGCCGUCGCGUCGCAGUGUUAUGACGCGUUCAGAGCUCGCCAUCAGAAAGUUGCAGCACAUUGCUAAAGGCAGACACACACGCGCGCGAGUGACAGCAGCGGCUCUGCGCGUUCGGUUCCGGCGCUCGCGACGCGCCCGUGACGGCCGGUAGAGCUACAGCCGGUGUUUACCCGCGACCGGGAGAGUGUGUAUGUGAGUGUGUGUGUUCGCUGAAGGUGUGAUGGCGUCUGCAGGUGAGGGCGGUGUGGACUCUAAAGCGGAGCUCAGUACUCUGCUGGAGCAGUGGGAGAGAGAGCAGCAGGGGGCGUCCAGCGAGCUGCUCAACAUACUCACCAAGAUUUCAGAGCUUGUUGAAAGAGAGACGGAGGAGUAUCAUAAGGCAGAUCCUGACCCGUUUGAUGAUCGCCAUCCAGGCCGGGCAGACCCAGAGUGCAUGCUGGGACACCUGUUGAAGAUAUUGUUCAAGAAUGAUGAUUUUAUGAACGCGCUGGUGAACUCGUAUGUGAUGAGCAGCCGUGAGGUGCCGCUGAACACUGCAGCCUGCCGACUCCUGCUCAACAUCAUGCCGGGACUCGAGACGGCCGUCGUCUUUCAGGAGAAGGUCACACACGCAUGCACACGCACACAUAUACAUUCACACACAGAGGCACACAGAGCUUUACAGAUCACAUCACUAGACUUUCUGCUGAUCGAUUGAGACUCGCUGCUGUUUUCCAUUCAUCUGUCUUAAACUGGAAUGAUGCACAACAAAUGUUUAAUUCACAGUAAACUGAAGCUAUUAUUAAUGUAGAAUCAUGCAGAGGGCUUGCAUUUACAUUUAGCCAUUUAGCAGAUGCUUUUAUCCAAAGCGACUUACAAAUGAGGACAAGGAAGCAAUUUACACAACCAAGAGCAACAAUGAACAAGUGCUGUAGGCGAGUUUCAGGUCUGUAAAGUGUAAAAAGCAAAACAUUAGUCAUUAUUAUUAUUAUUAUUUUAUUUAUUUAUUUUGUUGUAGUUAGUGGAGGAGUCAGAGAGGCAAUUGCAGAUUAGGAAGGGAAGUGGAGACUAAAUAGUUGAGUGUUUAGUGGUUUCUUGAAGACAGCGAGUGACUCUGCUGUUCUGAUGCAGUUCGGGAGUUCAUUCCACCAACUGGGCAGAUUGAGCGCGAGAGUUGGGGAAAGUGAUUUCUUCCCUCUUUGGGAUGGAACCACGAGGCGACGUUCAUUCACAGAACGCAAGUUUCUGGAGGGCACAUACAUCUGCAGAAGUGAGUGCAGAUAAGAAGGAGCAAAGCCAGAAGUCGCUUUGUAGGCAAACAUCAGAGCUUUGAAUUUGAUGUGAGCAGCAACUGGCAGCCAGUGCAAACGGAUGAGCAGCGGAGUGACAUGUGCUCUUUUAGCUUCAUUAAAGACCACUCGUGCUGCUGCGUUCUGAAGCAGCUGAAGAGGUUUGAUAGAGUUAGCUGGAAGCCCGGCUAGUAGAGAGUUGCAAUAGUCCAGUCUGGAGAGAACAAGAGCUUGAACAAGGAGUUGAGCUGCAUGUUCAGAUAGGAAGGGUCGGACCUUUCUGAUGUUAUAGAGUGUGAAUCUGCACGAUCGAGCAGUUCUAGAGAUGUGGUCAGAGAAGUUUAGUUGGUCAUCAAUCGUUAAUCCAAGGCUUUUCAUUAUUCUGGAUGCAGUAAUGUUUGCCCAGUUUAUCUGGAUUGAGAAGUUAUGGUGUAGAGUCGGGUUGGCAGAAACUACAAGCAUUUCCAUUUUCGCGAGGUUCAGCUGAAGAUGAUGAUCUUUCAUCCAGUGUGAAAUGUCUGACAGGCAGGCUGAGAUGCGAGCCGGAACUGAGGGAUCAUCAGGAUGAAAAGAGAGGUAUAGCUGGGUAUCAUCAGCAUAGCAGUGGUAGGAGAAUCCAUGUCUCUGGAUGACUGAUCCUAGAGAUGUGUAGAUGGAGAAGAGAAGUGGCCCAAGAACAGAGCCUUGAGGUACCCCAGUGUUUAGAUGCUGUAGGUUGGACACCUCUCCCCUCCAAGACACCCUGAAUGACCUGUCAGAGAGCUGAGAUCUGAACCAUUGUAUAACCGUGCCUGCAACGCCCAGUGACUCGACCGUAGAUAGCAGGAUCUGGUGGAUUACAGUGUCAAAAGCAGCUGACAAAUCCAGCAAGAUGAGGACUGAUGAUUUAGAGUCUGCUCUAGCCAGUCUGAGAUCCUUAAACGUUAGAGUGAACAAAGUAGGCGAUGAUUGAAGCUGAAUAAAUGAUCAAGAGGGAAGAAGAUCAGAAAUACUUAAUGCUUCAAAAACAAAGUACUAGGGGUGUCACGAUUUCGAUUUUUAAUCGAUUUUUAAUGAAUUUAUGCUCAAUUUCAAUUAUCGAAUCAAAAAAUAGAAUCGUCGAUGCUGCCACACCCCAUGUCACGUCAGCUUGGCUUGCCAAGCGGGAAAAAAACAGGCUUGUUGAAGUGCUUGUUGAACUGCAGACGCAGGAGACCCGUCGACAGAGCUUAAACCCUCUCCUCUUUCAAUGAAGUCGCCGGUGUGGAAGCAUUUUGGAUUUCCAGUGAGUUAUGUUGACAACGUUCGUGUUGUCGACAAAAAAAACACACAGUUUUGCAAGCUCUGCAUCGCGAUCCUCCGCCCGCCCCUGUUGCAAAUCCGCUGGCGAAAAGUACACACUCAGGCCCUGUUUACACUGUCUUUGUUUUUAAAUGGCAUUUUAGAACGACAACGAUUUGACAUCCACAGUGGCGUGUAGCAUUUCUGAGCAGCCCUCCUUCCUCUCUACCUCUGAAAAUGCACAUCACGUGACCACACACACACAGACGCACACACAGCCAUGCGCUCGAGACAGCAGGUCCAGGCAGUCAGAGGACUGCUUCAAUCUUUCACUCACUUGUACUUAGUCAUUUUAGCGAACACCUCAGAUACUGUUGGCUGGUUCCUGUUGGUUGUGCGGUUUUUUAUUACCGACGCCAUUAUAACGACACAGAUCACUGCCUAUUCACGAGUCCCGCAGAAAAAGUGAUUGACAGGUGGAAUUAUGUGUGUAUCUUGCCUUUAUUCAUUUACUGUAUGAUUUGUUUAUGGGUAAAAC
rnacentral:lncRNA from 1 species